rnacentral:misc_RNA from 1 species
AACGGUCUAUACCUGCGGUACCUGCGGAGGGAUCAUUAAUGAAUUAAAUUUUGGUGUGGGUUGUAGCUUUCCCCUUCGCGGGGGUAAGUGCUCACUUGCGUCAUUUUUUUAUUUAUCCACCUUUGUGCACUUCGCUAGGCAAUGAUUUAAUUUUGAAGUUGGGGAUGAACCGCGCCUGUGGCGGUGACUUGGCUUCAAAGUUGGGUUGCUGUCUAUGUUUUUUUAUAUACACCAUUAAAA